GCCGGGUAUGGUGGCACGUGCCUGUAGUCCCAGCGGCUCAGGAGGCUGAGGCAGGAGGAUCGCGAGUUCAGAUCCAGCCUCAGCAAGACCCUGAGCAGCUCAGCGACACCCUGUCUCUA
rnacentral:sRNA from 1 species